rnacentral:lncRNA from 1 species
ACAGUAAACGCCAAACUGUGACGCUAAUGAAGCAAGCUGAAUGUUGGAGGAGGUUUUACAGCGACCAAACGUAGACGUCCAUCUCUCAUAUUACAGACCACCUCUUUACUCUGGAUCUGAUUUUAAUAGGAGGGGAAUAUAUCAGAUGAUUUCUCCCAACGUUUCCAGUUUGGGUCAAUCUGUGUCUUCAGUGGAAGCCAGCAUUCCUUCUAACAGCGUCCAAUUCUGCAUCGUUUCAUGUGCAGAUGAUUGAAAGAAGCAAUCAUAGCUUUCAAACUCACCAGAUGAUGUAAUACAGAUAAUCAAAGUUUACAUAUGUCGAAUGAAAAUAAUAAUGAGAGGUGUGCGGUGUUGAUACCAAGGUAUCAUCUUUGAUUUCCAAUAUGUGUUUAGUGCAACAUUAUUUUCCCAAGCAAAACAUUUUUGCGUAAUUUUGUGAGCAGGGCAGCAGGGAAAAUCUAGUUGACGCUUUGGCCAUAACAAGUCAUGACCAACCCAGCUCCGCAGUAAUACUCUUUGGAUUUGUGUAUGUUUGUUCAACUCAUAUAUGAAGUCUAUAUCUCCAUAUUCCAUGUUUUUGUUUUUUUGUAGUUAUACAGGUCCUGUGGUUGACGGCAGUCUCAAAGCCCAGAGAGAGAACCCGGAGAUGUCUGUACGCAAUACCGACGCUGGCCUGCGGGGGGCGAAAAAGAGGCUGGAGCAGCUGAUAAAGGACCUGCUGGGGGAGCUGGGCUGGGCCAGCAGAGGUAGAGGCCAGCAGGAGGAAGAGGAGGAAGAGGAGGAUGGGAGUGGGCAGAGAGAGGCGGGCAGCGGGGAAGAGUGUGACGACGAGGACGGCUGCGAAGGAUCUGCACACGACAAUGGUGAGAAGGAGGUAGGUGGGGCCUGGCCCUCUCUCCGCCCCCCGUCCUCCCCUCGCCGGCCCCCUCCUCCACAGGUACGUCAACAACCUUUCUCCUUCAGAUUGGACUUUACUUGCCGUUACGAUUCAAAUGUCUUUUGAGUCCUAUUAAGGUGAAGUUUUUAGACUUUAGUGACAUAAUAAGCGGAAACGGACUUGGCAGAAAUGGAACAUAAUAUUCGUCAGCAUAUUUCAUCAGUGUAUAAUAAUAAUAUUAAGAAUUGCCAUGUUGCACUGCUGCCCAGAACGGACGAAUGGCUCUAGAGAGAUCCGGUUUCCAGUUGUCACCUUGGCUACAUCCAUUUCUGAUUCUUUUUGAGUCGCAGGAGCAUUAUAAUGGCCAAUGCGCCACACACUCUCUCGGACGCAGACGUUGAAAUCCACAGCCAGACGGGGCUCCACACAUGCACACACACCACAGCGCUAUAUAUACGUGUCCGAGCAGCUUAACUCUGUGUGUGAGUAAAUAGACUGUCACCAUCACCAUGUCUUACAACAUAUACAGCGUCUCUGGUGACUAUGACCAAGAUACCCUGUUUAACUGAUUGAUUUGCAAUUCACCAAUAAUUUACCUUGGUGUGAUGGAAAAUUGAUUUUGCUUUUAUGCAUAAUUGAAAGACCUCCUGGCCCCUUACAGAAUACCGGCCAGCACAGGUCAUCAUCGUCAGUAGAAAGGGAUGGGAAAGGGGGAGAUGCUCUACACACUAGACCUCCCAAACGACCCUCUCAAAGCUACAUCCACCAAGAUUCUCCCGUUGGUUCUUUGAUAUAGACUUCAGACUUUAUUGUCCCCGAGGGGGAAAAUUCUUUUUCAAGCCACAAGUACACGGGCCGCACACCAACGGUUAAAAACAGAUGGACAACAAACACAACAACGAUAACAUGCAGACAGGAUAUGCAGACACCGUGGGACAGGAUGGAGGGCGGCUGCAAGCACCAGGCGUUUGCCAUAGCGAUCCCUCCGGCACAACGGGGACCUGCUCCUGCGUCCAGAGGGCAUGAUGGUGGAGUGGGUGUGUGUUGUCCUGUGCUGUUGUAAAUAUAUAUUCACCGUGAUGAUUCUCCUCUCCCUCCAGGUGGCCGUUCUGGGGGACUCUUGCUCCAUCUCCACGGCUCACCUUUCACCUCUGACCCUGACCUCCCUGCUCUUCCUGUCUCUGCUCCUAUCGCUACGGCAACCGCUCUGAGUGGGACCAGGAGCAUUUAAUGAAGACUGGCAGAAAAGAAUAAAGAAAGGAGAAGCAGAAGGGACAGUGACAACGCCUCAGUAGAAGUGUGUGUGUGUGUGUGUGUGUGUGUGUGUGUGUGUGUGUGUGUGUGUGUGUGUGUGUGUGUGUGUGUGUGUGUGUGUGUGUGUGUGUGUGUGUGUGUGGACGGACAUUAGUAAGACACCCACGAUGAAGGCACGCAGGAAGAGGUUCAGCAGAGUGAAGAACAUGGACAGAAGCGGACUCCAUUUUGUGUCGCAGGCAUGUUCAGGACGUUCCUGGUAUAGCCCAUAGGGAACCCUGCUGUCAACCGAGAUUUAGUUACCUUUUAUACGCGGACGUCCCAGUCUGAUGAGAAGCUGUCUCGUCUGAGGACAAGGUGUCUCGUCUGAGGAACAGACGUCCAGUCAGAGGACAAGCUGUCCACUCCGAGGAGAAGCUGUCUCGUCUGAAGACAAGCUGGCAAUGAUUCCUUCCGGGGACAGUUGUUCUCUUUAUGUCCUAUUACCUAGCCUACUUACCCUCUUGUAUAUAUACACGUUUAUUUAACAUUGUUUAAUAGUUUGCACAGCACUACUGACUUUUUGAAGACAAAUGUAAAUACACAUAUUUAUAUGUACAACUCUAUAUUCAAGCAAUUGUUUGGUGUGGUUAUUCUCAGUCACACACAUGGAACUGUCUAGUCGCAAUUUUUUAAUCUUCAUGCCAUAAAGCAUCAUUCUAUGAAUGUGAUUAACCCUGAAAUACUGUUUUUCAGUUUCUGAACAAAUAAACAAAAAACAUUAUGAAAUUUAUAUUUUACUGCUCGGUCAUUCAGAAUAAGUGGGACUGCAGAGUUAAAACAGGUCCAUUUGUCACAAUGUUUUCAGACUGUUGGUUAGUCCAUAGUAUAAAUAAUGUGGAAGUUCACUGAAAUCAACUUAUUUUCACAACAAUUCUUGUGAAUGAGAUCAAAUAAAUGUGGUGUAAAUGAUCUUGAACUCUUUCUAGAUUCUAGCUGUGGAUAACCAAUACAUGGCCCUUAUUUGAAAAAAUAAAUAAAUUUAAAGUGGCAAAAUUUGAAACGGAAGCGUG